rnacentral:rRNA from 1 species
CACGUAGGGGGCGAGCGUUGUCCGGAUUUAUUGGGCGUAAAGAGCUCGUAGGCGGUUCUGUAAGUCGGGUGUGAAAACUCUGGGCUCAACCCAGAGACGCCACUCGAUACUGCGGUGACUAGAGUCCGGUAGGGGAGUGUGGAAUUCCUGGUGUAGCGGUGAAAUGCGCAGAUAUCAGGAGGAACACCAACGGCGAAGGCAGCACUCUGGGCCGGUACUGACGCUGAGGAGCGAAAGCGUGGGGAGCGAACAGGAUUAGAUACCCUGGUAGUCCACGCCGUAAACGUUGGGCACUAGGUGUGGGACCUUUCCAACGGGUUCCGUGCCGCAGCUAACGCAUUAAGUGCCCCGCCUGGGGAGUACGGCCGCAAGGCUAAA